CCUACGGGAGGCAGCAGUGGGGAAUAUUGCACAAUGGGGGAAACCCUGAUGCAGCGAAGCCGCGUGAGUGAAGAAGUAAUUCGUGAUGUAAAGCUCUAUCAGUAGGGAAGAAAAUGACGGUACCUGUGUAAGAAGCCCCGGCUAAAUACGUGCAAGCAGCCGCGGGAAUACGUAGGGGGCAAGCGGUAUACGGAUUUACUGGGUGUAAAGGGAGCGUAGACGGCAGUGCAAGUCUGGAGUGAAAGGCGGGGGCUCAACCCCCGGACUGCUCUUGAAACUGGACGGCUGGAGUGCAGGAGAGGUAAGUGGAAUUCCUAGUGUAGCGGUGAAAUGCGUAGAUAUUAGGAGGAACACCAGUGGCGAAGGCAGCUUACUGGACUGUAACUGACGUUGAGGCUCGAAAGCGUGGGGAGCAAACAGGAUUAGAUACCCGAGUAGUC
rnacentral:rRNA from 1 species